UCCACCAAUGCCACGUAAUAAAAAGUUCAUGUGAAUCCUUUCUCGUCCGCUAUUGACAAACAUAGUGACGAGCGUCCAUAACCAUCACACC
rnacentral:lncRNA from 1 species